rnacentral:rRNA from 1 species
UACAGAGGGUGCAAGCGUUGUUCGGAAUUAUUAGGCGUAAAGCGCGUGUAGGCGGCUUUGCAAGUCGGGUGUGAAAGCCCUCAGCUCAACUGAGGAAGUGCGCCCGAAACUGCAGAGCUUGAGUGCCGGAGAGGGUGGCGGAAUUCCCCAAGUAGAGGUGAAAUUCGUAGAUAUGGGGAGGAACACCGGUGGCGAAGGCGGCCACCUGGACGGCAACUGACGCUGAGACGCGAAAGCGUGGGGAGCAAACAGG